rnacentral:lncRNA from 1 species
UGGACUUCUAACAUCAGCCCCCAGGCUUGCUUACUAGGCUUGGAAAGUUGCCAGGCUGGCACUUGCACAUAUUUCCUAGAGAGCACUCCUUUGUACAUGCCACAGAAGCAAACAAUCGAGAACAAGGAAGACUGUGUAGAGACAGAUAGGAACAAAAUUGAGACAACAGGCAGGACAGUAAGUAGGUUAGUCAUCUAAAAAAAAUCACUAAGUGGCUCACCUCCAAAAUCAAAGGUCUGCUUAUCAUUACACAAAGACUUCUGCCUAAUUAUUUAUCAUAUGGUACAUCAUUAACUCAAAAAAGUCUAAUUGCUUUAUACAAAACCUAAAUCCAAACAAAGGCCUAUUUAUCUACAAAUCUUAGAACAAAAUGAGUUUGCAGUGAGAACUCAGUGAAACAGCAGGGAUCAGAGUGUGAUCAAGCCUAGAUAACUUGGCGGCACACCUGAAGAGUAACUAAAAAGCAGGAUUUGGGCACAAGGUGCCCAGCAAGUGCCACUCCUGACCUGGUGGUCACCCAUGAUGCUGUCAACUGAACAGUGUUCAAAACAAUCUUGAAAAAAAACAAAAACUCCAUAAUUGCCAAAAGACGGAGGCCAUUAUUCAAUGUCUAAAACAAAAUACAAAGGUAACUAUUGCUUAUUAGCAUAAGACCUGUGAGUUGGCCCUGUCCUUCCAAGCAGAACAAAUGGCUGGUUUGAACUCCAAUUCUGAGGAAGUAUGGGGUUUGGGAAUGAUUGCCUCUUAUAAUUGUAAGUAGGUUGGUGUCGUCUAUUGGAGUAUGGUUGUUCAGGUGAAACCACUGUUGAUUGGGUGACACUCACAGGCAUGCUUACUGGAGUGUGCCUGUUCCUCUCUGGCGGCUUUUCACAAGUGAGAGAUCUGCAGUGAGGUUGCCUAUGAAACUGUGUUUACAGAAGUGAGUUGUUGGGUUGAACAGGAUUCUCGGUGGCUACUUGUUAUCAUCACUUCAUAGUUCUAAUGUUUGCAAGAAAUGUCUUAAUUCUCAGGUUCAAGGAGAACACAGCUGCAUGUGGUAGUACACAUCUGUAAGCCCAGCACGCUGCAGGAGGACCCCACAUCUGAUGCUGUUCUCAGCUACAGAGUGAGACCCCCAUCUCAAAACAGAGGAUCGGGGAGAAGGGAAGCAUCAGAAGCUUGACACACAGCAGAAUUUACCACCGGGGGUGCAAGGUCUGUCUUGUUAAGUAGCCUUCAGUGUGAAUGACUGACUUACAUGUAAGGUCGCAUUUUGCAUGAUUAAACCAACAGAAAAAGGAAAAGUGGGUUACUUCCGGAAGAUUUGCAACUGAACGAAGACGGUAUUCAGCACUUAGGAGGCAGAAGCAGGCGGAUCGCUGAGUUCAAGGCCAGCCUGGUCUACAAAGUGAGUGCUACACAGAGAAACCCUGUCUUGAAGAAAAACAAAAACUUCCUCAGAAACAUGGACCUGGACAAGUUCUUCUCCAGGGGAUAUGACUCAAUUGUCAAAUUAAAAAUGAAAUGAUGGGUCAAGAUGGCACUGAAGGUGAAGAACGAGAUUCCUGCCCCUCCCAAAGCUAUAGCCAAAGCAAAGGACUUAAAAACCAAGAAGGCGGUGCUGAGAGGCAUCCACAGCCACAAAAAGAAGAUCCAUUUUUCACCCAUCUUCCGGAGGCCCAAGACCACGAGGCUCCAGAGGCAGCACAAAUACCCUGGAAAGAGGGCCCAGGAGAAACAAGCUUGAGCACUAUGCUGUCAUCAAGUUCCCCCACUAGGUCAGCCAUGAAGAAGACAGAAGACAACAUCACACUGUGUUUAUUGUGGAUAUCAAGGCCAACAAGCACCAGCUUAAGCAGGCUGUGAAGAAACUCUAUGACACUGAUGUGGCCAAGUCAGUACCCUCAUAAGGCCUGGUGGAGAGAAGGAGACCUGUGUUUGGCAGGCUUCUGAUUAUGAGGCUCUGGAUGUUGCCAAGAAAACUGGGAUCAUCUGAGUCCAGCUGGCUAAUUCUAAAUAUAUAUGUUUUCACCAUAGAAAGGAAUGAAGGGAAGGAGGGAGGGAGGGAAGAUUUUAUUAGUAUCAAAUAUUCUGGCUUAACCUGCUAGGCAUAUUAGAAAAUUACAAGUCUCUGAAAAUGAUAGUAAAGGGCAUUUUAUAAAGAUUUAAGUCUAUAGAUGAGAAAAGAACUGGAGAAGGCUACUGCUGACAAGGAAUGCUGAAGAAGAGUCCACAUGCCUCCAGAUCUGCUGUUAGUAAUGUUAGAAGUGGUGUCAUUUCAGCUAGUGAGUCAGUACCCAUUCCAAGCAUAAGAAUCACUGCAGGAAUUCACCGAGUGACAGUCACUUUACAAGCAUAGUCUCAUCUAAUCUUCUCACCACCACAGGUGGGUAUCACUACUGCUCUCAUAGUACAGAUGAGGAAACCAAGGUUUUCUAAGGGUGAUCAGCGUCUCGAGAAGGCAAAGCUAGGAUUUGAUUUAUGUAGAUAUUUUUCCAAAGAUGAUUGAGUAUGAUCAAUAAUAAUACAAAAACAGGUCUGGAAAGAUACCCCAAUGGUUGAGAGAGUGUAGUCCUCUUUCAGAGGACCUGAGUUCCAUUCCCAGCACACACAUAGAUACAGCUUACUACAGCCUGUAACUCCACCUCAAGGGGCAACACCCUCUACUUGUUCUGGCCUCCAUAAGUACCUGUACUUAUGUGCAUGCACAAAUCAUGCCAAUUUUCUUGUGAUUGCUGGUGCUUAUGUAUUUAAUUCCAGCCAUUUUCCAGUAGGUGGGUGGUGACAAGCCAUUUUGAUUUCUUGUUCAUUAAACUGAUGGUUCAUUACACCAGCUGGAGUUUAUUACUGAAUAGGCCAUGAAAACCUCUGAUAAAUCAGCCUUGAUCAUGAUGUGCAACUUUUACAUGUUGUUGAAUUCUGUUUGCUAAUAAUUUGGCAAGAAUUUCUGAGCUAAUUUUUGUGAGAAAUGGUCUAUCUAUACUUUUCAUUUUCAUACUUUGAUUUUGGCCUCAGAGGAGCAGCUAUCUAAAGUGAAUUAGUUGAGUUCCCAUUUUCCUUAAUAGCUUCAGGCUCUUCAAGAUAUCGACUCUCUGUUGGGUGGAUCACAGUCAUUUUUAUUGUAUGAAUGCAUUUACGAAUGUUUUGCUUAAUGCAACAGUUCUCAACCUUUGGGGGGUCAAUAUUAGAUAUCCUGAAUAUCAGGUAUCAGGUAUUUACAUUACAACUCUUAACAGUAGCAAAAUGACAGUUGUGAAGUAGCAAUGAAAUAAUUUUAUGGUUGGAUCAUCACAGUAUAAGGAACUAACUGUGUUAAAAGGUCACAGCAUUAGAAAGGUUGAGAACUACUGGUUUAAUGUCUUUCUUAGGUUCCAUGGUUCCUGUAAUUCUUCUUUUACAAUUUCCUCUUUAGAGAACUCCACUUAACUAUCUUUUUCUUCAGAAAAAUCCCUCUGGUGACAAAAAUGUUUUAGUUUCCUUUCAUCUAAGAAUGUCAUCACUUAUUGUUCCUUCUCAGGGCUCUUUUGUUAGGUUUGAGACUUGAGUGGGUUUUUUCUCUUUGAGUGAGGUUGGGGUUUUGUUUUUUCCUUUCUGUACUUGGCAAGAUGUGGCAUGCCUUCCUUGUGCCUCUAGGGUUUCUGAAAUCUACUGUCAUUUGGAUUGUUCUCCCCUGGAGGGAAGGUGCCCUUUCCCAUUUCUUUCUUUCUUUCUUUCUUUGUUUCUUUGUUUCUUUCUUUCUUUCUUUCUUUCUUUCUUUCUUUCUUUCUUUCUUGAGGGAAGGUGCCCUUUCCCUUUUCUUUCUUUCUUCCUUCCUUCCUUUCUUUCUUUUUCUUUUUUUUUGUUCUCAGAAGUUGAAUGAUAAGGUGUCUUGGCUUAGAUAUCUUUGCAUUUAUACUACUUAGAUUGCAUGUGUUUGUUUUAAAUAAUAG